rnacentral:rRNA from 1 species
UACGUAGGGUGCAAGCGUUAUCCGGAAUUAUUGGGCGUAAAGAGCUCGUAGGCGGUUUGUCGCGUCUGCUGUGAAAACUGGAGGCUCAACCUCCAGCCUGCAGUGGGUACGGGCAGACUAGAGUGCGGUAGGGGAGAUUGGAAUUCCUGGUGUAGCGGUGAAAUGCGCAGAUAUCAGGAGGAACACCAAUGGCGAAGGCAGCUCGCUGGGACGGUACUGACGCUGAGGCGCGAAAGCGUGGGGAGCAAACAGG